GGUACGGUUUUUAUUGGUUUCUUAUAAACUAAAAAUCAAGGCCGUUAAUUAAACUCCCCAGUGUUAACAUCUUACAUAAUAACCAUUGUACUUUUUUUCAAGACUGAGAAACCAACACUGGUAUAUACUAUUAACUAAGUUACAGACUUUAUUCAUUGAUUUUUCUUCUAAUGUCCUUUUACAGUCCAGAAUCCAGUCUGGGAUACCACUCUGCACUUAGUGUUAUUUAUUUUUUGUUUUCAUUUUUAAAAUCUUUUAGCAGUUCCUGUCAUGGUUCAGCGGAAACAAAUCUGUUUAGUCUCCUUGAGGAUGCAGUUUCGAUCCCUGGCCUCACUCAGUGGGUUAAGGAUCAGGAUAGAACCUGCAUCCUUGGGGUUCCCAGUCAGAUCUGUUUCUGCUGCGCCACAAUGGGAACUCGCUAUUCCUGAUCUUGACAGGCCCACUCUCUUCCCCGGAACCUGCUAUGCAUUUUCCAACUUCCAUGCUUUUUCCCCACUCUUCUGGCAAUGCUCUCAUUCAUCCUGUUCUUUCCGGUUAUUCAAAUCAAACCUUUGCUUCAGAACCCAGCCUGUAUCCUUCCUGAGGCUUGCCCUGGCUCCCCAAACCCCCUUCCUGGAGUCUUCCCUAGGAAUUCACAGAGGCCAUGUCCUUCCCUGGGGCACUGUUCCAUUUAACAUUCAAUGGAGGUUGUAAGCCCCAUGGAGCACUAGGUCUUAGGGGAAGGGAUGCGGAGCUCUCAGCAUCCUCUGGGUAGCUAGCUUAUUUAAGGGAGGGAUAUUGAAGGAAGUGACAGGCAGCGUCAUGGACAGGUGGGACAGGCAAAGAGCCAGACCUCACUGAGAUUGGUGAGUUGGGGAGUCAGGACCUGGGAGACUUCUCUCUUUGCCUCUCAGAGGCCACAAGGCCACCCUCUUGUCUGCCUCUGUGAGUAUCAGCUCACACCCAGCUUCCUACUUUGACAUGCAGCUGGCUCCAUAAUGGCUAUCUUAGCUUUCACUCUAUGUGACCUCGGGACUCAAGCAUCCACAAAUGGUUCAGGGCUCCUUUGCCUACAAAUGAAACAUCACAGUCAAAAUUGUUUAAGCAAAGAAAGGAACUUUGUUAAGUCAUGGAACUGUUGAAAAGUCCAGAAGAAAUCAGGUUUCAGGCAUGGCCAGAUCUAGGUACUCAAAGUAUAUGAUUAGGAAACUCUUAUCACUGGGUUGGCUUCACCCAUAGGAAAAGACUUCCUUUGGUUGGCAAGAUGGUCAGUGGAAAGUCCAGCUAAACAGUCUACCAGUUUAGCAGCUCUGGCAGAGAAAACACUUCCUCCAGGUAGCUUCAGUAAUAUUCCUGGGUAGAGCUCUCAUUGGUUUAGCUUUGAACCAGACUCUGUGGCCAGGGGACAUGAUGCUUUGAUCAGCAGGUUUGGGAUACAUACUCUACCCACAAAAGGCAAAAAUAGUAUAAUUACUAUCAGAACCCACUUGGACUGAGAUUGGGUGGGGAGGAGGCAAGCCCCUCAAAGAGGGCCCCAAUCAAGUUGGAGUUCACCUCUAAUUAGCUGUGGUGGGCUGGAGAUUGGUUCACACACCUGCUUCUCACCUAGCCUCUCUGCAGGGUGAUCAACUACUCUCUGUCUGCUCAUCGCCCCUCAUUCUUCUGUGAAUUGCAUCCUCUUUUGUGUGAGGUCCUUCUGCCCAAUCAUAAGAUUCUCCUGGGGCUGCCAAUCACAGCCCUGCUGGUCACAGAGGAGGGCAUGUGACCCAAGGUGACCAGAGUCCUUCCUUGGUAUUUUUUUUUUUAAUCAUUUAACAAAAGGAAGAAAGUCUGUUCCUUUCUUUCUGGAGGUGAAGCUAGGAAGACAUGAGUAGGAGCUGGUCAACUUUCCAAAGUCGUGGAAGAAGCUGGUUGGAGAGAACGAGACCAAAUACAGAGAAAGGAAAUGGAAAUGGAGAGAAAACGUCUUAACGAAGGCACAUGCCUUCGUUUCAUCAUUGCCAAGGCCCAACAGGAACCUGCUUUGGCCACCAUUUGGUUGAACAAGCCAAUAUAUUCAUCUUUUUGCCUAACUUGGACAGGGGGUGUUUCUUGCGCAUGUCGUGUGCUGGUUACACUGUGCUAAAGGGUCUCUACAAGUGGUCUCUUUCGAUGCCCAUAACUCCAUGACUAUUUCUCCAUUUUAUAGAUGCAGAAAUGAGGAUCAGAGAGGUUGGCCUACGUAGCAGCCAGUAAGUAGCAGAGUCAAGAUUCAAAACAGACAGACUGCCUCCAGAGCAACCCACAAAGCUCCAAAACCCUGAGUUUGGUGUGGACUGGGCAGGCAUCCCAGUGUGAGAUUAGCACUGGGGACCAGUCUGAUGCCCAGCCUUUACCCUCAAGCUACUUAGACUUUAGAACAUUGUUAGGUGAGGCUUAAAGUGAUAUUUUUUUUCACUAUGAAAUACGUACAGAAAGGCACAUGUAAGAUGUGGACAAUGUUGAUAAAUAAUUAGAAAAUAUACACUCACCUAUGUAACUACCACCUAAAUUAAGAAAUAGAACAUGGAGUUCCCACCAAGGCACAGCAGGUUAAGAAUCCGACUGCAGCAGCUCAGAUUUGAUCCCCAGCCUGGCAUGGUGGAUUAAAGGAUCCAGCAUUUGCUGAAGCAGCUCAGAUUCAAUUCCUGGCUUGGGAACUUCCAUAGCUGUGGGUGUGGCCAUUAAAAAAAAAAAAGAAAGAAAAAGAAAGGAGGGGGGCAAGAAAAAAGAAACAAGAAAUGACCAGCAUUCCAGAAGCCCCACUGGGUGCCUCUUUCCAGUCAGAACCUCUUUCUCCUCUAGAGCUCCCCCCGUCUGAUAUUGUGUGAGUUCACCCGCUGGGGUCGUUCUAGCGUAUGUGUGUAUAUCUUGUUUCCCUAGCUAGGCAGAGGCUGAUGGAGGGGGUGGUGGUAAGGACCAUUUCUUCCACUGUAUUUCUUUGCCUCCCCCACUUGCCAGGUGAAUAAUAGGUGCUGAAACACACCUGUUGAUGGGUGUUGUUGACAGGUUGACUGGGAUGAGUGAGAAUCUACCAUGGGUUGGAAAUUACGCCAGGCGUUUUGCACAUUAUCUCAUCAAAUUUUCACAAAAACCUCUAUCUGUAGGCUUGAUUAGCCUGCCUUUCCAAACAAGGACCCUAAGGUUCAAGGAAGACAGAUAGCACCCCCAAGGUCACGCAGAGAAUAAAUGGUAAGACUUGGCCCUGUUUUUUUCCUGGUUUGUUUCAGUGGGUGCAGGUAAGGUGAGGAAGGAAGGGAGAGAGGAGGGCGGAGGAGGGGCUGAGAAGAACAGUGACUGAGAAGGCUCAGAGCUUGGUUGCUCUGCCUGCUUUCAAACCCCAGCUCUGCCACUCAAGCAAAUG
rnacentral:lncRNA from 1 species